UUAAAGAGUUCUAUAACUCCCAAACCCAUGUGAACAUACCUAACGUUGCCUCGGCAGGUCGCACCUACCUUGUAGCACCCUACCCUGUAGGGCCUACCCGGGAGAUGCGUGUAAGCCUGCCGGCGGCCCACCAAACUCUGUUUGAUAUUGAAUUCUGAACAUAUAACUAAAUAAGUUAAAACUUUCAACAACGGAUCUCUUGGUUCUGGCAUCGAUGAAGAACGCAGCGAAAUGCGAUAAGUAAUGUGAAUUGCAGAAUUCAGUGAAUCAUCGAAUCUUUGAACGCAUAUUGCGCCCAUUAGUAUUCUAGUGGGCAGGACCGUUCGAGCGUCAUUUCGACCCUUAAGCCUUAGUUGCUUAGUGUUGGGAGCCUACGGCAACGUAGCUCCUCAAAGUUAGUGGCGGAGUUGGUUCACACUCUAGACGUAGUAAUUUUUUAUCUCGCCUAUUAGUUGGACUGAUCCCCUGCCGUAAAACCCCCAACUUAUCAAGGUUGACCUCGAAUCGGUUCAGACAAACUCGCUAAAUUGAAGCAUCUUAGUCAGCGAAGGAAAAGAAACCAACAGGGAUUGCCCUAGUAACGGCGAGUGAAGCGGCAACAGCUCAAAUUUGAAAU
rnacentral:rRNA from 1 species